rnacentral:tRNA from 1 species
CCGGGCCACGGGCUGGAUGCGGUGGUCCCCCGGCUCGAAGCUGCGCAGGCCCUCGCGGACGGCCGCCGGUUCGACGCCGGCGGCGCGGACCA